UACGUAGGUGGCAAGCGUUGUCCGGAUUUACUGGGCGUAAAGGGCGUGCAGGCGGUUUGUUAAGUCUAGGGUGAAAGCUCCCGGCUCAACUGGGAGAGGUCCUUGCAUACUGGCAAACUCGAGGGAGGCAGAGGAAAGUGGAAUUCCCGGUGUAGUGGUGAUAUGCGUAGAGAUCGGGAGGAACACCAGAGGCGAAGGCAGCCCCCUGGGUCAACACUGACGCUCAUGCACGAAAGCGUGGGGAGCAAACAGG
rnacentral:rRNA from 1 species